rnacentral:lncRNA from 1 species
GAAAGUGAUAUAAGUAUUUCUUAAUAUAUUAAUAUGUGAAAUAAUUUUAGAGACUUUAUUAAAUACACACAGUCCUCUUUAUGGUAGAGGAACAGUUCAGCUUGAGCUGGUGACCGGCUGAACUAGAGGGGUUACUCUGGGAAAGUGGCGAGUCGGCAGGGCAUGUCUGCACAGAUUUUGUGCCAGGUUUCCUGCCUGCACAGCGCUUUCUUCUCUGUCCAAGUUCUGUGCUGACCACAGCUGUCCACAGGCAUGUUUACACUCCCUGUUCUUGCAGGUUGACUUGAGAGAACCACGUAGCUAAAUUGGUGAGAGACUCAGCCUGACCGCUUGUCUUUAGAAGGCCUGAUUGGAAGAGUGCACUCUAUUGACUUUCCUCUAACAAUGAAAUUGUGAAAGGUACAUGGGGCGGCUGUGAGACGUGCAGCUAUCGGGUCUCACCGGCACAUCCCUUUUCUCGUAAAGCAAUGAAGCACUUUCUAAGGUGUUGGUACUAGUGCUGGAGGCUGCUGGUGCAUUAGAUGCUGCCCGUCACAUCGGUGGGCUGAGAAACCUUCCUUAAAGACCUGUGAUGUUUUGUAAACCCUGACUGUUCUGGUGGUUGCAAAGUUAGUGUCUGUUUAGUGUUCCCCAUCUCACCAGAAGUGUUUCCUUUUUCUCAUUCAUAGAGGUCCUGUAAUAAAGAGGGAUCCGAACAAGCUCAGAAAGAAAAUGAAUUUCAAAGCCGGCGAUUAGAUACUGAAGAAUUAAGUUUGCCAGAUAUUUCUGCAGAAAUCGCCGAGAAAAUGGCUACAUUUCAUGGUAUGAAAAUGCCAUUCAAUAAGGAACCAAAAUGGCUUUUUGGCACAAUGGAAAAGUAUCUAAAGGAAGUGCUGAGAAUUAAAUUUACUGAGGAAUCCAGAAUUAAAAAGCUCCACAAAUUGCUCAGUUACAAUCUGCCCUUGGAACUGGAAAACCUGAGGUAAUAUCUUGUUGCUGGAAGGCCGAGAGAAUUCUGAAAAACAGAAACUGAUGCUCAUUGAUUUCGAAUACAGCAGUUACAAUUACAGGGGAUUCGACAUUGGAAAUCACUUCUGUGAGUGGAUGUAUGAUUAUAGCUAUGAAAAAUACCCUUUUUUCAGAGCAAACAUCCGGAAGUAUCCCACCAAGAAACAACAGCUCCAUUUUAUUUCCAGUUACUUGCCUGCAUUCCAAAAUGACUUUGAAAACCUCAGUACUGAAGAAAAAUCCAUUAUAAAAGAAGAAAUGUUGCUUGAAGUUAAUAGGUUUGCCCUUGCAUCUCAUUUCCUCUGGGGACUGUGGUCCAUUGUACAAGCCAAGAUUUCAUCUAUUGAAUUUGGGUACAUGGACUACGCCCAAGCAAGGUUUGAUGCCUAUUUCCACCAGAAGAGGAAGCUUGGGGUGUGACUGUGGGGAGGACUCCAUCCACCUCAUCACUGGACUGCAUGGGGAGGCAGCAGAGCGGGGUCCCCUCUGUGCUUCGACUACUGCUCCUGUGGCAGGAGGCUUUGGGUGGCUCACUACUGAACACGUGUAUGAUACUAAAGACGGUAUUAAAAUGGAGCGACGUUUAUUUCAUCUCUUGUUUACGAUUUCACUAGGACUCAGAAACGAGAUCGGGAAGCAGAAAUAUAGUGCAAUAGUGCAACAUCUCUGAAUCCUUUUAAUCUAGAGAAGGCAUUUCAUAUUUGGGGGCUAAGGUUUCCAGUCAGAUGAGGCAAACAGCAAGAGUAAGCAGUGUUACUUGCAGGUACUUUGGUUAAUGUUGAUUUAAAUUUUCAUGAAUGUGCUGGUGAACACUGUGACCAGGCUUUUGUAGAUGGCUAUGUGUUAUAGACGGUGCUCACUCCCAAGGGACGGCAAGUGAGCAGAGAUGUACUGCGAAGUCGCCAGUCACUGCUGCAAGGUGGCCUCUGCCUGGGGCCUCCGGAAGCUGCUCCUCUACCCUCUUGGUCCCAUGGCUGAAGCUGGAGCAGCGGAUUGCUCUGGAGCAGCCAAGGCCGCCUGCGUGUGGAGCAGAGCUCUCCCCUCCUGCUGGGCGUGUGUGACACUGAUGAGUUUCACUGUACUGCAUGUGACUUCUCCCCUGCCCUUCCUCCUGAUGGAGUGCAGACAGCCAUGCGUGGCCACGGGGGCAGUGUGAGGACCUCCGUGUCUCCCGGCUCCCCUCCCAGGGGAGCCAGCUGCUUGACCUAGCUCUUUGGGCCUCUCCUGCCCUCUGCUCUGCCUGGAGUGUCGGAUCCUGUGAGUAGGCUGGGCCGCCCCUGGGCAGGGUUCUCCAAGGGCCCGGUUUCCCGGCCCUUACCUUUCCUGAUGCCCCUGACAUCAUCAUUCUUGUGGGAGACAGCAGCCUGUAUGUGGUGUGGGGCGUGGAUCGAGUGUAGCUGUGAAAUCCAUAUAUAUGAAAUGUCCCGCGGGAUACAGUCUUAGCUGACUUUUUUUUACUCUGAACUCUGAAUUGUUUUUUGUGCAUAUAUUUCUGCUACCACAGAGAUUGUACUAUACAAAUAAAAAAAUAAAAACCCAACCUCAAGC